rnacentral:rRNA from 1 species
GAUGAACGCUGGCGGCGUGCUUAACACAUGCAAGUCGAGCGAAAGGACGAGAAGCCUGCUUUGCUGAGGUGAGCGGCGGGCGGGUGAGUAACACGGGGAGAACCUACCUAGCAGAAAGGGAUAACUAAGAGAAAGCGGGGCGAAGAGCGGAAAAUAUAUUGAACCGGAGGGGGCAAAAGCGAAAGACGGUCUUGCUGGUACUGAUAGAGGGAUCCGCGCUGCAUUAGCUGGUGGGUAAGGUAACGGCUUACCAAGGCAACGAUGCAUAGCCGACCUGGGAGAUGGUCCGUCCCCACUGGAACUGGGACACGGUCCAGACUCCUACGGGGAGCCGCAGUAGGGAACCUCCCGCAACAGGCGAAGGCCUGCCGGAGCAACGCGCGGUGGGUUAUGAAGGUCUUCGGAUCGUAAAACUCUGUUCUUAGGGAACAUCAUAUGUUUAAGUAACUGUGCACAUAUUGACGGUACCUAAUCAGAAAGCAACGGCUAACUACGUG